GGCAGUGGUGGUUUGGUGGUUAAGACUCUGAGUGACUGAUCAGAAGGUCAGGGGUUCGAACCCCAGUACUGCCA